GAAAAAUCACCUAAAGAGCUGGAUUUUGAUAUUCUUGUUCAUAGAGUUUCCCAAGCUGAUGUGAACACCCAGAUUAUUUUUAAUUGCCAAAUGGGACGUGGGAGAACAACAACAGGAAUGGUGAUUGCUACAUUAGUGUACCUUAAUCGUAUUGGAGCUUCUGGAAUUCCAAGGAGCAAUUCCAUCGGUAGAGUUUCUGACUGCAUCUCCAAUCUGAAUGACACAUUAGCAAACUCAGAGGAGGCAAUCCGU
rnacentral:misc_RNA from 1 species